rnacentral:rRNA from 1 species
AAGAGUUUGAUCAUGGCUCAGAUUGAACGCUGGCGGCAGGCCUAACACAUGCAAGUCGAACGGUAGCACAGAGAGCUUGCUCUCGGGUGACGAGUGGCGGACGGGUGAGUAAUGUCUGGGAAACUGCCUGAUGGAGGGGGAUAACUACUGGAAACGGUAGCUAAUACCGCAUAACGUCGCAAGACCAAAGAGGGGGACCUUCGGGCCUCUUGCCAUCAGAUGUGCCCAGAUGGGAUUAGCUAGUAGGUGGGGUAACGGCUCACCUAGGCGACGAUCCCUAGCUGGUCUGAGAGGAUGACCAGCCACACUGGAACUGAGACACGGUCCAGACUCCUACGGGAGGCAGCAGUGGGGAAUAUUGCACAAUGGGCGCAAGCCUGAUGCAGCCAUGCCGCGUGUAUGAAGAAGGCCUUCGGGUUGUAAAGUACUUUCAGCGGGGAGGAAGGCGAUAAGGUUAAUAACCUUGUC